rnacentral:rRNA from 1 species
UACGAAGGGGGCUAGCGUUGCUCGGAAUGACUGGGCGUAAAGGGCGCGUAGGCGGCUCAUACAGUCAGAUGUGAAAUUCCUGGGCUUAACCUGGGGCUGCAUUUGAUACGUGUGGGCUUGAGUGGGGAAGAGGGUCGUGGAAUUCCCAGUGUAGAGGUGAAAUUCGUAGAUAUUGGGAAGAACACCGGUGGCGAAGGCGGCGACCUGGUCCUUGACUGACGCUGAGGCGCGAAAGCGUGGGAGCAAACAGG